UUGAAAGGGAAACGAUUGAAGUCAGUCGUACCGACGAGAAAUCAACUUAUCGUGUGCGAACUUGUGGGCGUGCGUGAGUUUCGGCCUCGCUGUUUGCAUGUUUGUGCGUUUUGGGUGUACUUUUUCGUAUGGUAGGCCAACGUCAGUUUCGAUUAUCAUGAAAUGACCGGCGGAAUGUAGCUUCGAUUUCGGUUGAAGUGUUAUAGCCUCUGGUAGAUGUGGUGAUUGAGACUGAGGAUUGCAACGAAUACCCUUCGGGCUAUCCGUCUGGCCUCUGAAAGUUGCUCAGGUGCCGAAAGCGUGCUUACGGUUAUCUAAGAUAACGUUCAACAGGUUAGAACGUGAUUACAUUCGUUAAGGAUGUUGACGUA
rnacentral:rRNA from 1 species